rnacentral:rRNA from 1 species
AGCGAACGCUGGCGGCAGGCCUAACACAUGCAAGUCGAACGGAUCCUUCGGGAUUAGUGGCGGACGGGUGAGUAACACGUGGGAACGUGCCCUUUGGUUCGGAACAACUCAGGGAAACUUGAGCUAAUACCGGAAGUGCCCUUCGGGGGAAAGAUUUAUCGCCAUUGGAGCGGCCCGCGUCUGAUUAGCUAGUUGGUGAGGUAAAGGCUCACCAAGGCGACGAUCAGUAGCUGGUCUGAGAGGAUGAUCAGCCACAUUGGGACUGAGACACGGCCCAAACUCCUACGGGAGGCAGCAGUGGGGAAUCUUGCGCAAUGGGCGAAAGCCUGACGCAGCCAUGCCGCGUGAAUGAUGAAGGUCUUAGGAUUGUAAAAUUCUUUCACCGGGGACGAUAAUGACGGUACCCGGAGAAGAAGCCCCGGCUAACUUCGUGCCAGCCGCCGCCGUAAACC